UACAGAGGUGGCAAGCGUUGUUCGGAUUUAUUGGGCGUAAAGGGUCCGUAGGCGGUUUGGAAAGUCGGGUGUGAAAUCCCACAGCUUAACUGUGGAACUGCAUUCGAAACUUCCAGACUCGAGUGUGAGAGGGGUAAGGGGAAUUCCCGGUGUAAGAGUGAAAUCUGUAGAGAUCGGGAGGAACACCAGUCGCGAAGGCGCCUUACUGGCUCACUACUGACGCUGAGGGACGAAAGCCAGGGGAGCAAACGGG
rnacentral:rRNA from 1 species